UAAUACGUAGGGUCCGAGCGUUGUCCGGGAAUUACUGGGCGUAAAGAGCUCGUAGGUGGUUUGUCGCGUUGUUCGUGAAAACUCACAGCUUAACUGUGGGCGUGCGGGCGAUACGGGCAGACUAGAGUACUGCAGGGGAGACUGGAAUUCCUGGUGUAGCGGUGGAAUGCGCAGAUAUCAGGAGGAACACCGGUGGCGAAGGCGGGUCUCUGGGCAGUAACUGACGCUGAGGAGCGAAAGCGUGGGGAGCGAACAGGAUUAGAUACCCUGGUAGUCCACGCCGUAAACGGUGGGUACUAGGUGUGGGUUUCCUUCCUUGGGAUCCGUGCCGUAGCUAACGCAUUAAGUACCCCGCCUGGGGAGUACGGCCGCAAGGCUAAAACUCAAAGAAAUUGACGGGGGCCCGCACAAGCGGCGGAGCAUGUGGAUUAAUUCGAUGCAACGCGAAGAACCUUACCUGGGUUUGACAUGCACAGGACGUGCCUAGAGAUAGGUAUUCCCUUGUGGCCUGUGUGCAGGUGGUGCAUGGCUGUCGUCAGCUCGUGUCGUGAGAUGUUGGGUUAAGUCCCGCAACGAGCGCAACCCUCGUCCUAUGUUGCCAGCGGGUUAUGCCGGGGACUCGUAGGAGACUGCCGGGGUCAACUCGGAGGAAGGUGGGGAUGACGUCAAGUCAUCAUGCCCCUUAUGUCCAGGGCUUCACACAUGCUACAAUGGCCGGUACAAAGGGCUGCGAUGCCGCGAGGUGGAGCGAAUCCUUUAAAGCCGGUCUCAGUUCGGAUUGGGGUCUGCAACUCGACCCCAUGAAGUCGGAGUCGCUAGUAAUCGCAGAUCAGCAACGCUGCGGUGAAUACGUUCCCGGGCCUUGUACACACCGCCCGUCACGUCAUGAAAGUCGGUAACACCCGAAGCCGGUGGCCUAACCC
rnacentral:rRNA from 1 species